UUUCAUAAUAAUGUUGUUGAUUUGACUUUGUUGGAGAAAAGGAAAGGAGAAAACAUUUCAGAUCCACAUUUGAUUCAAUCAUAUUUAGAUAAUAAGUACUAUGGAUAUGUCCAAGUUUUUACAGAUGCAUCUAAAAACUCAAAUAGCAGUAAUGGUGUGUCUUUCAUUGUUCCAGAAUUCAGAGUUAAAAAAUGUAAAAGAAUUACUGAUGGAGUAUCAGUUUAUACUGGAGAGAUGAUGGGAAUCAUUUUAGCUUUAGGAUGGAUUGAGGAAGUCCGUCCAUUAAGAAGCAUAGUCUGUUCUGAUUCAAGUUCUUCAUUAUAUUCAUUGAAAAAUAAUCACGCUAUUAGUAGACCGGAUCUUUUAUUAGAAAUUCAGUUAAUAACUUAUAGAAUUCAAGCAAUGGGUUUAUUAGUUAUAUUUACAUGGAUACCGUCACAUAUAGGAAUAAGAGGGAAUGAGUUGGCAGAUAAAUAUGCAAAACAAGCUUCAAAAUAUAGUGUUAUUGAUAUAUUAGUUCCAUUUAGUAAAGAAGAAAUCAAAUCUAUUAUUAAACAAAAGGUUAAGGAAAGAUGGCAGAGACAGUGGGAGGAAGAUAGAACUGGUAGAUGGCUGUACAGUAUUCAAAGAAAAGUUGGUGCAAUGAGGAGAACAGGACGAAAUAGAAAGGAGGAAACAGUUAUAUCUAGGUUGCGUUUUGGACAUACAAGGUUAAACAGUAAUUUAUUUAAAAUAGGAAAACAUCGAAAUGGAAGUUGUGAUUUUUGUGGUCAAGAAGAGACGGGGGGUGUUUAAAGUUAGCGUCCCGAUCCACACUCCAUUCCAGUAGAUGGCGGUAAUGCACAUCUAAAAGUUGCUUGCCAACCGCCAUAAAAAAA